rnacentral:rRNA from 1 species
UGGGGAAUCUUGGACAAUGGGCGCAAGCCUGAUCCAGCAACGCCGCGUGCGGGAAGAAGGCCCUAGGGUUGUAAACCGCUUUCAGCAGGGAAGAAAAUGACGGUACCUGCAGAAGAAGGUGCGGCCAACUACGUGCCAGCAGCCGCGGUGACACGUAGGCACCAAGCGUUGUCCGGAUUUAUUGGGCGUAAAGAGCUCGUAGGCGGUUCAGUAAGUCGGGUGUGAAAACUCUGGGCUCAACCCAGAGAGGCCACCCGAUACUGCUGUGACUUGAGUACGGUAGGGGAGCGGGGAAUUCCUGGUGUAGCGGUGAAAUGCGCAGAUAUCAGGAGGAACACCAGUGGCGAAGGCGCCGCUCUGGGCCGUAACUGACGCUGAGGAGCGAAAGCAUGGGUAGCAAAGCAGGAUUAGAUACCCUGGUAGUCCAUGCCGUAAACGUUGGGCACUAGGUGUGGGUCUCAACCAACGAGAUCCGCGCCGUCGCUAACGCAUUAAGUGCCCCGCCUGGGGAGUACGGUCGCAAGACUAAAACUCAAAUGAAUU